GCCUUUUCCGGGGUAGCUCCUGGGUGGGCGGGGCUUCCGGCCUUUUCCGGCUUCCUGGGAGCAGCUGCCCACACCCUUCCUCUCCGCCUCGCCAUGCUGCCUCCCUGCGUGUUCAAGGAACUCAGACGAAAGUCGAGGCUCUGUUGCCAAUGGCCAGUGAAACCACACUUCUUGAAAUGUUUAUUUUAAUAAAUGCCUGUGAUUAUGUUUCCGGAGCAUUUGGCUAACAGCUCCCAAACCAACAGGUUCCAGAGAGAUUCCUGGAAGUUGCACAGAUCACAUUACGGGAGUUUUUCAAUGCCAUUAUCGCAGGCAAAGAUGUUGAUCCUUCCUGGAAGAAGGCCAUAUACAAGGUUAUCUGCAAGCUGGAUAGUGAAGUCCCUGAGAUUUUCAAAUCCCCGAACUGCCUACAAGAGCUGCUUCAUGAGUAGAAAUUUCAACAACUCUUUUUGAAUGUAUGAAUAGUAGCAGUCCCCUUUGGAUGUCCGAGUUAUAUGUGUCUAGAUUUUGAUUUCAUAUGUAUGUGUAUGGGAGGCAUGGAUAUGUUCUGAAAUCAGCUGGUAAUUCCUCCUCAUCAUCUUUCCCUCCUUUCCUUUUGUUUUCCAUUGAAAGGGGAUGGUUAUGUUCCUUCCGCCUUUAGUUUACUUUUGCCCAAGGCCCUUAACAUUUGGAGACUUAAAAUAGGGUUAAUUUUCAGGGAAAAAAAAAAAAAGAAUGUUGGCGUGUGUAAAGUCUGUAUUAGCAAGGAAGGGCAUUUGCGAGCUAUGCGUCCGCUUAAUUGCUGGCCUAUUGCAAAUGGCGGUUGGCCGAGGAAAACCCAUGACACAGCACGACUCUACAGACGGUGAUGUGUCUCUUGUUUUUACUGCUAAGAAGGUCUGAAAAUUCAAUGAAACCACUUCAUACACUUAAAUAUCUUGUUUGGUUUGAAACGCAAUGAGUAGCUUUCUCUUACGUGUUUGAAAAUAAUGGCAGAUGAGCAGCUCACUUUGCAAAAGUUCCCCAAAAGGCCUAAAAGAAAAACAAUCACUAACUCUCAAGCCUUUCCUAAGAGAAAUGACAGGCGCCCCCCAAACUAGUACCAGUUUCUUAUGGAAGGCAAAGCAAUUUUGCACAAAACUGACUCUUUCAAGAUGAGACUGGAAAUUCAUACCUGAACUGGCCGCCUCUCUAAACUUCACAGUAGGUUCUUCUUUCAAAUAAGGGGGCUGAUAUCAUUCUUCAUAGAAAAGAAAAAAGAAAACCUAUAACUUGUUUUCACUUUCAAUUUAUUUUGCUUCAGAUAUUAAAAGGCACAUAAGUUUCAAAUUUACUCUGCUCAACGUUGUUUAUAUGCUUAACAGGAUUAUUAUUUCUAUUUAAUUAAUUAACAUCUUUAUUUUCCCCUAAAACACUGUUUUCUGAAUAUCUUUCUACAGUAAGGAAUAAAGGAAAUAUCCCAACUUGACCAUAAGAUUCUUGCCUACACUAGAAGUUUGUUAACAACUGUUGGCUGACUUGAUCUUCACAUAUGAGAAUAACCUAUUUUCAUAUACAAUUCCACACUACCCUUAUGGGUGUUCUAAGUGAUGACAGUCUAAUUAAGCAUUUCUACAUUUUAGAUAUAGCAUUUUAAAGCAACUGAUAAUGCCUCUUCUAAUUCAGAAGCUAGUAUUGACCAAAAUGUGAGAAGAGUGUAUAGCAUGAGAAAGUUUGGGGUUAACCCAAAAGACACAAUUUCAGCACACAUAAGAAAGCUAGCUGCUAUUUUAUGCUUUCUUCAAUGGUUCUCCUCUUUCUCCCUUUUUUUUCUUCCAGUUUUUCAAUGAUGUACAAUGUCCCAUACUUGCAUUUAGAAAAUCAUAUGGCAUUCACACUUGUUCUUUUCUUAGAUGGGUUUUUGUGUGCAGAUGCAGUAAGAAUUCAUUGUUCAUUCUAAUAGUGUUUUUUCCCAGACCCCUCUUUCCUCUUAGGUAAUUUGAUAUACACCUCCUAAAAUGACACAGUAACAAAUCUGGUAUUUAGAACAUAUAGAACAUAAAUGCCAUUUUCCCUUAAUUUUCAUAAAAAUUACAUUUGACUUUGGAAAGCACAGGUUUUGACCCAUGUGACUGUCUAGCUGACCCGAUUGCUGUAAAUUUAACGUCAUUUAUAAAUUCUGCUGAUGGACAGGAAUGUAUGAACGCAAUUAUUGUCAGCACAAAGCCUUAAAACCUGCUGACUUUAAAUUAAAUGGUGCGGUUCUGUGAUGCUCUGCUUCAUUCAGGAGAUGAGCAGGCCCUCUCGCUGUGGACAGGGUGUGCAGUGGCCCGGGCUGGGCACCGACAGCUUCUCUCUGCACCCGUGGCCACACACACAUCUCCCAGCUCACACUCUCCCACACAAUGCACGGUCAUUAGAGCCAAUUUGUUACUUUUCUGGCUUGCUUUAAAAAAAAAAAAAAAGUUUUUAUAAUUAUUACAUUGGAAUAAAGCGGGGACAAAAAUCCAAUCAGCACAAAGCAAGGAAGCAAUCACAACUGGUGUAGUCACACUCUUUUCGACUUUCUGCGUUUGAAAGAGUAUGACUUUCAUUGUUCAUGUCAGUACACACCUGGGUCUUUGCUAUUCCGUGUAAUUUUUAUCCACAUCGCGUUGCCAUUUGCAAGGUAAAAGGCAAAGCUGUAGUGUAUUCACCUAUGUAGGCAGAUUGCUAGGUAUCUUUUUGAUCUGGGGCAAGUUCAGUAUUGAUUCCAGACUUAUUUGGAUUUUUAGUCUUAUUUUCUCCUGCCUUUCUAAUUUAAGUAGACAAAUUAAGCAAAAGUAGGUGUUCACAACCAAAUGUGUUGAUGCAUUUAUCUACUGAUAAUACCCUCUCAAUGUUCACUGAGGCAUAGAAAUUAUUUCAGAGCAGAAAUUGCAGCAUGAAAAUAAACUCACUUCUUUGUUCUGAAAAUAGAACUCUUAUCACUUUGUUUUUAGGUGGUUUUUCCCCUUUUGCAAUCGUAAAAUCUUGUGCCUCCCAGUGCAUUGGCAAAUGGCAAAAGCCUGUCUCUCAAAACUCCUAUAGAACAGUUUUUUGUUUGUUUGUUUGUUUGUUUUUUAAUCACCAUCUUUCAAAUCUUAGCUCAACUCUCACCAAGUGAAAAUUGGCUACUUGGGAGAAAGUUAACUUUCUGUGGUGGGAGAGUGAAGAACGAGGGACAGUUUACAUAUGAAAAAACAAGUCUAAAGUCCAUGUUGAAAUACCACACAACCCCUUAUUUUCUGCUAACCCUAAAUUAUUUUUGCGUAUACACUUGAGGUUAUAGUCUGUGCCUAGACCUAAAAUGCACCAGCGGGGGGGAUUUUUAAAAAUCCUUCAAAAUACCAGUUUUUUCCCACAAGUACAAUUGUUCUCGUGCCUUCUGUGGCUUUCGAUUUCAUCUUUUUUGACUUUAUUUCCAAUUACUACAGCUGCAAUAAACACUAGAUUUUUUUUCUGGCUGUUUGACAUAACGUUGAUAGCUAUGCAUAUUUUGUGUCUUUUUAAAACAAAGCGGGAGAAUACGUUUUUGAAGAAGAGAAUUUUUAGAACAGUUUGAUACCGCAAAUUAUUUUUUCCUCAAUUGUUUGAGCAGCAUUCGAGUUUUGAAAAUUCUUGUAGAAGCCAAUUUUUUGUAACUGUGGUGCAAAUCUUGUGUUUUCUUAGCCUAAUGAAAAGUAGUAUAGAAGCAAUAUUUCAUACCAUGUGCUAUAUAUGUGUGUGCAGAUGUGUGAACAUAAAAACACAUACACACAUAUACACACAUGUAAAAAUAUACAUAUAUAUAUAUAUGCGUGUGAAGUGGAAAGCUUACCUUUUCCUAUCUAGAUUUAAGAACCUAUUUUAGACAUUUGUUAUGUUUUGUGAAAAGAAUGUUCUAUUUGCAACAAAACAUUUAAUUCUUACUGUAUCUCUGGCUGUUUAAUGAGGAUGUUUCACAUUAAAUGGUAAAACACGUGGAAGAUGUUAGAAUGUAGUAAUUAUUUAAGUAAAUGUUCACCCACAUAUUCCUGAAGUUUGCUUUGUGCCUCCACGAGUAUUAUUUAAUUAAAGUGUUUUAUGUUUGCAGAAUCUUUGUUACUGUACUAGAGGGAUGUGGGUGAAUAUGAUUUAAAAAAAAAUUUUUAAAACAACAAAAAAAAAGCAAAACAGAAACACUAAAGCAAGAGGGGAACUUUUAUAAAGCAAUGUAAAUAUUGAACCUCAUGGCUGUUGUUACAUAAGACAUGAGAUUUUAAUAAAUAACUACAUUCUCACAACAUCUGUUGAAUUUAUUAGGAACACUACAGUGACUGGAUAGACAGUUGAAAGCAUUCUUGGAAAUCCUGCUCUCUACUUUUAAAAGAUAACAGUCUCUUUUAUCACCUGUCAAGGACAAGGGUAAUGCAGUUUCUGUACAUUUAUGAAAUUUCUUUUCUAUGUACAUGAAGACAUUUAGUAAGUACCCCCCCAUCACACACAUACAGGUUAAUAUGAAGUCAUAAAGCUAAAGAUGUGGGGACAUUCAAAAUAGGAUGUCACCCAGAAACAAUCAUAAAUUCACGAAAGAAAAAGUGGUUUACAGACUCCCCUGAAAGAAACAGUGUAUAUGUGAAGACAAGUGCAGAAUCUCUUUGCCAUGUAUAUUAUAGCGUAUUCAUUGGUGUGAAUAGUACAAAUGUUUCCCUUCUGGUACAAACUCUGUGUUUGCAAAUUGCAAGAAGCAUUGUUUUCAAAAAGCUCCCCUUAAAAAAUGUAACUGGUUUAUAUGAGUAAGCAGUUACUGUAUUGCACUUAAAUGUUACGUUGAAGGAAAUGCAGUUUUGUUUUCUGUAGAUCUGUUGGUUGUAAACCAUCUAUAAAAACUAAAGCUAAAAAUGCUCAUAUUCAGAGCUGGGAUCAAAACUGGUAUUUAACCUUUGCAUCUUCUUAUAAUUAUCCUUCUAAGAAUAUAACAGAAUCUGGAAGCAUCUGGACUUUGAGUCUUUUCAACUGAGCCCUCUCUCAAAUCCAACAUCCUCCUGCCCCCAAAAUGCACACACAGGAACAGAAAAAGCAAACGAGCUGGCCUUCUUUUGUGAAAAUGUAUUCAUUCUGUAUUUUUUAAAUAUCUAAUUCCUCCACGUAGGGGGAUGAAGCAUUUUAAAAUUGUAUAUUACCACUUCAAAUUUAGAAGUAGAAGAAAAUGUAUUUGGGGUUGGUCUCAGCACUACCUAGAAGAAUCAAAGGUCGCGGCUUCCCUCAAUACUGUCCCAGCCAUUUCUCAUGUGUAUAUAGUACAAACCGUGACAAAACACUGCCUUUAUAUUAUUUAGCAAUAUGUUGUAAAUAGCAUUAUUAAGCUCUUUUUUUUUUGUAAUAAAGACCCUUUGAUUUGAAUAUAGGACAAUAACUGAACUGAUAAAGUCAAUUUUUGAUUCUUUUUUUUUUUUAGCUAGAGGCAAUUUCAAUUGUGGAUUUUUGUUGUUGUCUAUUGUUCUGAAGACUUUGCAUAAUUUAUUGGUUUAAUUUAUCCUAAUUUAUUUGAUGAAGGUGUACAAUUUUGUAUUACCAAGGAUGUACUGUAAUAUUAAUUGAUAUGAUAAACACAAUGAGACUCCCUGUCCAUAUUAAAAAGAAAAUAAAAAGGUGCAGUAGACAAUUGAUUUUAAAGUAAAAGUAAAAAAUUUAGUUUGGCAGCUACUAAAUUUCAAAACAGGAAAAAAAAAAGUUGUGGGGAGGGUGGGAAAGGGGUUUUACUUUGUGUGUUUUAAGCUUUUGUAUACUCUCCAAACUUUUACCUUUUGCUUUGUACCACUUAAAGGAUACAGUAGUCCAAUUGCCUUGUGUGCCUUCCAUCUCCUCUUAAACUGAAUGUAUGUGCAGUAUAUAUGCAAGCUUGUGCAAAAUAAAAUAUACAUUACAAGCUCA